ensembl:snoRNA SNORA70 Small nucleolar RNA SNORA70
CUCAAAAAAAAAAAAAAAAAAAAAAAACGGCAGCUUCCUUGGUAGUAUAUGCAGCCUGUUUGUUGUAUGGGUUGCUCUAAGGGACCUUGGAGACAGGC